rnacentral:misc_RNA from 1 species
CUGUCAUGGAUGAGAUAAGUAAAUUUGUGAGUUCUAACUGUUAAUAUACGUAACUUUACUGGCUGGCAGCUAUCCAUGACAGAAGCUUGACAUUCUGCUUGGGGGUAAUUAAGGGUUUGCUGCUUAUAUGAUUGUGUAGUAUUACUACUUACUGUUUCAUUGAUCUUGUGUCGUUGGGUUCUGCUACUCUGGGGUCUGGUUCAUCAUGACUAGGCUUUUUUAUUGGGUGCAGAAAGUGGUUCAGCAUCUAGCUGGUUUGGGAUGUAUUCUGUUAUACAUCCAAUUGUCUGGACUUGGGUGAUGUAGUUUGAUGAAGCUUUUGAAGGCAGCAGGAAGCUGUUUGACUAAGUUUAGCAGACCCACCAAAUUUAAGGUUACCCGUUCUGACUUCCAGUUACAACAGAUAGGAAGACAGGAGUGCAGGGUAGCAUUUUCGUGGCCGAUUUAUUGGGUCGUGCCUUGCUAAUUUUAUAUAGCUAAUUUUAGAACACGGAUGGGAAAACAAUCCAUGAUAUUAUCAAUUAUGAUCUUUUAUGUUUCAUACAUAUGCUUUUAGUAUGUAUAAAGGUGUUUGCUUAUAUUAACUUCUUG